GCAGAAAUGACGGAAUAGGUAGACGUGAAUCAUUUAGGAUGAUUUGAGAUAACUCAUGAAGGUUCAAAUCCUUUUUUCUGUA
rnacentral:tRNA from 1 species